rnacentral:rRNA from 1 species
AGAGUUUGAUCCUGGCUCAGGAUGAACGCUAGCGGGAGGCCUAACACAUGCAAGCCGAGCGGUAUUUGUCUUUCGGGACAGAGAGAGCGGCGUACGGGUGCGGAACACGUGUGCAACCUGCCUUUAUCAGGGGGAUAGCCUUUCGAAAGGAAGAUUAAUACCCCAUAAUAUUUAGAAUGGCAUCAUUUUAAAUUGAAAACUCCGGUGGAUAGAGAUGGGCACGCGCAAGAUUAGAUAGUUGGUGAGGUAACGGCUCACCAAGUCUACGAUCUUUAGGGGGCCUGAGAGGGUGAUCCCCCACACUGGUACUGAGACACGGACCAGACUCCUACGGGAGGCAGCAGUGAGGAAUAUUGGACAAUGGGUGCAAGCCUGAUCCAGCCAUCCCGCGUGAAGGAUGACGGCCCUAUGGGUUGNAAACUUCUUUUGUAUAGGGAUAAACCUANAUACGUGUAUCUAGCUGAAGGUACUAUACGAAUAAGCACCGGCUAACUCCGUGCCAGCAGCCGCGGUAAUACGGAGGGUGCAAGCGUUAUCCGGAUUUAUUGGGUUUAAAGGGUCCGUANGCGGAUCUGNAANUCANNGGNGAAAUCUCACAGCUUAACUGNGAAACUGCCAUUGNUACUGCAGGNCUUGAGUGUUNUUGGAANNNCCUGGNAUAANUNNNGNANCGGNGAAANGCNUAGAUAUUACNUNAGAACACCCAUUGGCGAAGGCAGGNUUCCUAANCAACAACNGGACGCUUNUUGGNNCNAAAGCCNGGGGGAGCCNANCCCGGAUUNNANUCCCNUGGUNNNCCCCCNCCCGNNAAACCGAAGGCUAACCUCNNUUUUUGGGGUUUNUCGGNUUNCNNGGACCCCCAAUUGCGAAGGCNGGUUAUUAANCANCAACUNNCGNUGAUGNACGAAAGCGUGGGGAGCGAACAGGAUUAGAUACCNUGGUAGUCCACNCCGUAAACGAUGCUAACUCGUUUUGGGUUUUCGGAUNCAGAGACUAAGCGAAAGUGAUAAGUUAGCCACCUGGGGAGUACGUUCGCAAGAAUGAAACUCAAAGGAAUUGACGGGGGCCCGCACAAGCGGUGGAUUAUGUGGUUUAAUUCGAUGAUACGCGAGGAACCUUACCAAGGCUUAAAUGGGAAAUGACAGGUUUAGAAAUAGACUUUUCUUCGGACAUUUUUCAAGGUGCUGCAUGGUUGUCGUCAGCUCGUGCCGUGAGGUGUUAGGUUAAGUCCUGCAACGAGCGCAACCCCUGUCACUAGUUGCCAUCAUUAAGUUGGGGACUCUAGUGAGACUGCCUACGCAAGUAGAGAGGAAGGUGGGGAUGACGUCAAAUCAUCACGGCCCUUACGCCUUGGGCCACACACGUAAUACAAUGGCCGGUACAGAGGGCAGCUACACAGCGAUGUGAUGCAAAUCUCGAAAGCCGGUCUCAGUUCGGAUUGGAGUCUGCAACUCGACUCUAUGAAGCUGGAAUCGCUAGUAAUCGCGCAUCAGCCAUGGCGCGGUGAAUACGUUCCCGGGCCCUGUACACACCGCCCGUCAAGCCAUGGAAGUCUGGGGUACCUGAAGUCGGUGACCGUAACAGGAGCUGCCUAGGGUAAAACAGGUAACUAGGGCUAAGUCGUAACAAGGUAGCC